GUUUUUUUUCUAAAAAGGAGUGGUAGAAGAAAAGGGGAAAAAUGAAAAAGAAGAAAAAGACGAUGACAUGAAUUUUCAAUAAACAAUUUGUUUGUCCUCUCACCAUAUUCUUGGAUCUCAGAGUUGUUCUUUUCCGUCGGAG
ensembl:ncRNA F19B6.6 ncRNA